GACAGCUCAGUUUUUCGUCAAACCCGACGUUGAUGAGCAAUCGGCGAUUCGAAGCCCUCUCAGCGUGCCGGCUGGUCAGAGCAGACGCCUCGUCUGCUGCGUUCUGUCGAGAGCCGCUCGAUCCGUCUAGUUCCGCUACUGACCGUUCGCACACCGCCAACCCAGCCGCCGAUCUCCUCGGUCACUGCCUCCCUUCGCCGCCGUUUGUCGGAUUUUGGCUUGUGGUGAAGUUUUGGAUUCAAGCAUUGAAGGAAUUUUAAGGUCGAAGUGUAUUGUCAAGCAUUGCGCAGGAUUAAGUUGGGUUCGCAAACAGAUUUGAGUUUGAAACUAAUUUUGGACCAAGCAACAUUUUGAUUAAGGCAUUUAUUUGAGAGACUGAAGACAAUUUGGAACAAACUACACUUUGGGCUUUAGAUUCAAGUUUUGGAGAAGUUUUGAAUUUAGAUGCGAACGACUUGAGAUUGAUUCC